GAGACAGACAACGUGGGUUUGACUCCAUUCGUUGCCACCUAACAUUGUGUGACCCUGGACUGGGUACACUCAGAUUCCUCAGUAUAAAAUGGUGUAAUGAGAAAGUCCUGUAGCAAGGCUGGAUUGAAUAGUUACCAUACCACCUGUUGGGAUGAGUUAUAAACUCUUUGUUCUGAAUGGCAAAGAACCUGGCAUUAUAAGAGAGUUGCUAAACGAGGACGUCAUGUGGGGUUCUUGGCCUUCAUCUUGUCCUUCAUAAAGAGAAGCAUAUCUGCAGCUGAGAGAAUGAAGCUCACAUGAAGAAGAAAGCAAGAAAACAGCAAAGAGAGGGACAAGAUGGAGGAGGGGCCAGAGCCCAGGAACAGAAGAUGAACAUGAGCAUGACUCUGAUCCACUGUCUGGAAAUGAG